UACGUAGGGUGCGAGCGUUGUCCGGAAUUAUUGGGCGUAAAGAGCUUGUAGGCGGUUUGUCGCGUCUGCCGUGAAAAUCCGGGGCUCAACCCCGGACUUGCGGUGGGUACGGGCAGACUAGAGUGUGGUAGGGGAGACUGGAAUUCCUGGUGUAGCGGUGGAAUGCGCAGAUAUCAGGAGGAACACCGAUGGCGAAGGCAGGUCUCUGGGCCGCAACUGACGCUGAGGAGCGAAAGCAUGGGGAGCGAACAGG
rnacentral:rRNA from 1 species